rnacentral:lncRNA from 1 species
UUCUGCACAUACCUGGAGUGGCUGCCUGCCCUGGCUCCUCGGUACAGGAAAGGGGAAGGGUGGAGAGUGAAAGGAGCCCAGGCUGACCCAACCAGGACCGCCUUCUCCCUCAGACCGAGUAGUGCAGACCCCAGGGCCUCCACCUUCAGACCCAGGAGUUCAGAUCCCCAGCGCCCUCCUCCCUCAGACCCAGGAGUAGUCCAGGCCCCCAGCGCCCUCCUCUCUCAGACCCAGAAGUCCAGGCCCCCAGCACCCUUCUCCCUCAGACCCAGGAGGAGUCCAGGCCCAGGCCCCCAGCACCCUUCUCCCUCAGACCCUGGAGUCCAGGUCCCCAGCGCCCUCCUCCUUCAGACCCAGGAGUCCAUGCCCCCAGCGCCCUUCUCCCUCAGACCCAGGAAUCCAGGCCCCCAGUGCCCUCCUCUCUCAGACCCAGGAGUUCUGGAAUUCAGGCCCCUCCUUCUCGGAUACUAAGAAAUGCAGACUCCGGGUUCCUCAUCCUCCAGAUUUGGGUUGGGGGUUCCGGACUCCGAGACCCCUCAGGGGAAACCGGCUGCAUAUCUGGGACACUUCCCUCUUGCCUCAGUUUCCUCCGCCAAGC